GGAGAGACAGUAGCGGACCUACAACAAUUUCAAGGCAUCAUAGAUGCAAGAAUAUUCUCAAAUGCAAAAAUGUUUAGCCUCCAAUGGGCUCUAAUCAUGGAAUAUCAUACCCACUAUAUGUUUACUCUGAAGUGCUAAUUUUAGACACAGUUCAUGUUCUCUCUCAAGCAAUCUAUAUAAUAGCAGGACAUUUUAGUCAGGGAGAAAAAGGGGUAUAAACCAUCAUGACACACACACAAAAAACAACAGAUAUGAUCCCUUUUUUAAACAUAUUUAGAGCAGGGCUCUCCAACCCUGUUCCUGGAGAGCUACCGUCCUGUAGGUUUUUACUCCAACCCUAUUCCUGGAGAGCUACCGCCCUGUAGGUUUUCACUCCAACCCUAUUCCUGGAGAGCUACCGUCCUGUAGGUUUUCACUCCAACCCUGUUCCUGGAGAGCUACCGUCCUGUAGGUUUUCACUCCAACCCUAUUCCUGGAGAGCUACCGUCCUGUAGGUUUUCACUCCAACCCUGUUCCUGGAGAGCUACCGUCCUGUAGGUUUUCACUCCAGCCCCGUUCCUGGAGAGCUACAGUCCUGUAGGUUUUCACUCCAACCCUAUUCCUGGAGCUACCCUCCUGUAGGUUUUCACUCCAACCCUGUUCCUGGAGAGCUACCCUCCUGU